rnacentral:rRNA from 1 species
CGGACGGGUGAGUAAUGUCUGGGAAACUGCCCGAUGGAGGGGGAUAACUACUGGAAACGGUAGCUAAUACCGCAUAACGUCGCAAGACCAAGGAGGGGGACCUUCGGGCCUCUUGCCAUCGGAUGUGCCCAGAUGGGAUUAGCUAGUAGGUGGGGUAACGGCUCACCUAGGCGACGAUCCCUAGCUGGUCUGAGAGGAUGACCAGCCACACUGGAACUGAGACACGGUCCAG